rnacentral:RNase_MRP_RNA from 13 species
CAUUGAAGCCGCAAAUAGUGCAAGCUACCACCCAACCGAUAAGGCAUUGGAGAAAGUCCGCGAACUGAAACGCGGAAUCGUUGGCCAAUUCACCAUCAUAAGACACUUUCUGAGUGCGCUUAGAGG